GUGCGGGUGACCCUCCGCGGGCGGGGGUUGGGGAGGGCUCCCGCGCUCCGACGGCCGGACCUCGCGGCCUCCGCCCAGGCAGAACGCAGGGUGGGGUCGGGCAAGAGAAGAGGAUGUACAUUGGUUGCUAAUGGCUUCGCGGAAGGAGACAGAUACUUGAAAGCUUCCUAUUCAAUUCUUGUAUCUUUGAGGGGAAGAGCUUUUGGAACAAAAUGGGGAAUCUCCCACACAGCCAUUCUCAGUCUGUCCUCGUACUCUCUUUGGCUUUCUUUGCAAGAUGACAAAAUGCCAAUAUUUGGUUAUCAGCUGCUUCUUGGAGCCAAAGACUGCCCUGGACGUAUCGGCCGCUCUUGAGUUUGUCAUGGAAGUUUCAAGUAUCAGCGUGGCCACCUUGAUGAAACCACUGGAUUAGUGGGGACUGUUCUUCUCAGAGAACACAAAGGCACUCAGUGAUCACUUCUCUCACAUUUAGCUUGGUGCUUGUGAGGUGAAGAUAUAGAACCAUGUUUCUGCAUGGGUCAACGCUUUCAAAAAAAGCUAUCUUUCACAGCCACAUCCUUCCGUGUCCUCUUUUGAAAUGUGACACUGACCUCAAGGACAGGCUAAGGAGUUGGGAGGGAGGGCAGAGAUUUUCAUCUAUUCUGCUCACCGACGUGUCCCAAUGCCUGACAUAAAGGAGGCACUUGACAAAUAAAUGUGGACUGAAUGAGCA